rnacentral:rRNA from 1 species
AUUGAACGCUGGCGGCAGGCCUAACACAUGCAAGUCGAACGAGUGGCGGACGGGUGAGUAAUGUCUGGGAAACUGCCCGAUGGAGGGGGAUAACUACUGGAAACGGUAGCUAAUACCGCAUACCAUCGGAUUUGCCCAGAUGGGAUUAGCUGGUAGGUGGGGUAACGGCUCACCUAGGCGCCGAUCCCUAGCUGGUCUGAGAGGAUGACCAGCCACACGGGAACUGAGACACGGUCCAGACUCCUACGGUAGGCAGCAGUGGGGAAUAUUGCACAAUGGGCGCAAGCCUGAUGCAGCCAUGCCGCGUGGAUGAAGAAGGCCUUCGGGUUGUAAAGUACUUUCAGCGGGGAGGCGUUACUCGCAGAAGAAGCACCGGCUAACUCCGUGCCAGCAGCCGCGGUAAUUC